GGGGCAAUGGCCUAAACGGAUAAGGCGCUCACCUCCCAAGUGAGAAAUGCGGGUUCGAGCCCCGCUUGCUCCA
rnacentral:tRNA from 1 species